GACAACGUGUCCGAGUGGUUAAGGAGAUAGACUUGAAAUCUAUUGGCUUCGGCCUCGCAAGUUCGAAUCUUGUCGUUGUCG
rnacentral:tRNA from 2 species